GACGAACGCUGGCGGCGUGCUUAACACAUGCAAGUCGAACGGAAAGGCCCUGCUUUUGUGGGGUGCUCGAGUGGCGAACGGGUGAGUAACACGUGAGUAACCUGCCCUUGACUUUGGGAUAACUUCAGGAAACUGGGGCUAAUACCGGAUAGGAGCUCCUGCUGCAUGGUGGGGGUUGGAAAGUUUCGGCGGUUGGGGAUGGACUCGCGGCUUAUCAGCUUGUUGGUGGGGUAGUGGCUUACCAAGGCUUUGACGGGUAGCCGGCCUGAGAGGGUGACCGGCCACAUUGGGACUGAGUUACGGCCCAGACUCCUACGGGAGGCAGCAGUGGGGAAUAUUGCACCAUGGGCGGAAGCCUGAUGCAGCAACGCCGCGUGCGGGAUGACGGCCUUCGGGUUGUAAACCGCUUUCGCCUGUGACGAAGCGUGAGUGACGGUAAUGGGUAAAGAAGCACCGGCUAACUACGUG
rnacentral:rRNA from 1 species